AUUGCUGGCUGGCUGGGUUGGUGGCUUUGUUGAGAAUUUAGCCUCUCCUUUUCUCUCUUCCCUUUUCGACGAGAGAAAAAGGUGGCUAACUUCAUUAGUUUUAGUGUGACGGGCUAAUCGACGGGCCUUUUCUGUACAUCGAUCGACGUGCUAAAAAGACAUUGGACCACAGUGAAUUUGAAAGUUGGAUAUACUUCCAGAAAUGUUUGUGAUUCAUCUAUUAAAACCGCGUCAUUUUUCUGUUUCACUUUCCUGAAAACAGUUGGCGGAUGGGCCAAUUAAACGCAUUCGAAAAAUGAAUCACAUUUCCCUUGUUGCACUGAUUUUUAAAAGUAGAAACGUUUUGAAACUACCAAUAACGAAAAUAUAGAAAUUCAAUUUUUGUCUGUAAAGUUUUGUCAUAAUUUAUGACAAAAUCAAAUAACCUAUAUUGUGCAUUUUCUACGUGCAGUUUUUUGGGCUUUUGUGCAUUUCUAUGGGUCCCGCAUGCAUAAAAAUAAUUUCGUGCGGACAAAAAUAAACACUACUAGGUAUUCAUGGCCAUAAAUAUAUAUAACUGCCAUAUUUUUAAACCCUUUCCCAAACUCGCCCAAAAUAAAGGGUAUCUCCGAAGGGUACAAUCGGUGAAUGCGGGAACGUCCAUAUACUACGUCAUCGUUUUAGUGGGUGGGUGACUUAGGUCUAAAAUUAUCUAUCCCUUAAUGUUUACGUCGCUUGAGUGGUGCUAAAAUCGAGAACUUUUGAUGACGAAAUAUAUGGGUGGCCCCUGUGUGAGCGACUUAGCAAACAACUGGACCAUGAGAAUCCUUUUUUCACCAGCUGCGAACUAAACAAACUGCCAGGAAAAGCACGGGUGGACCGCCUCUAAUUCCCAGGAGAGCAUUGCCCAGGCGAGGGAGACCUAACAACCGGGUCGCUGGAGGCCGGCCGGCGCCCAACCAAACGGAUACCCAACAGCGUGUCAUGUUACGCACCCGUGAAACCGCACGAAGAUCUGGACCUACAAAACUUCAAAUGCUCGUCUGGGAACUAAUGAAGAUUCGAGGUGACCAAAAUCUCCCGGACGACCCAGCAGCUGUCGAUGUGGAGGGAGGAGCAGUUGCCUCUAUCAUGUCAGGCACCCGAAAUGCAGAAAAGCAAGACGACGAAUACGACACUUACUGCAAAUCCUUGGCGCAAAAAUUCCGAGUGAUGGGACAGUCUGAUAGAAGAGGCUACUUGGAAGUUCAAAACACUAUAAAUCGUAUCGUCCAUCAAGCCGAUAUGAACUCUUUAUUGGCCGAUUGAUAGAUUUUUCUUCAUUAUUCACACGACUUUGUGGGAACUAAUUAAAUAAAUCUGUUCAUACGAAUGUUACCUCAUGCUUGCUAAAUUUCCUAAACUUAAGACAUUCUAAUCAUGUCGUAAUAUUUAAUUAAAAUAUUUGAUUAAAAUAUUGACAGGUGAAAUAAAAUGUUAUCACUUGUCCCCAUUAAAAAAGGUGUUAGUCAACAGCCAUGAAUAAAAUAACAAAGGAAUGUCA